GUUGGUUCUACCCGAAGAUGGUGCGCUAACCGCAAGGAGGCAGCCARCCACGGUAGGGUCAGCGACUGGGGUGAAGUCGUAACAAGGUAGCCGUAGGUGAACCUGCAGAAGGAUCA
rnacentral:rRNA from 1 species